UGAACACGGAACAAACAGAACAUCUUGGAGGAUGUGGGAGGAAAUAGCUCUCCUCAAAGUCAGAUUGGGAAAAGAGGACCAAAGAAUACUCAGGAAAAGCAAUCGAUCACUGUACUGCAAUACCAGGCGAGAGAAGAAGGACUUGUACCAGAACGUUAUGAAAUAUAGUUGUAUCCUGAGUAAUUUUCCAGAAGGGGCGAAGACAACUGUGGAAUGAGAGAGAACUGGUACGAUAUCUCAAUAAUGUUAAAUACCAUUUAUGCAGCACCUUUAUGCCGUAGGUACUUAACAUACAUUUCUAAUCCUUUCAAUAAGUUUCCCCCUUUUAAAGGAAUGGAACCUUAGAAGUUAAAUGAGUCACCCAGCUAAUAAAUGCCAAAGCCUAGAUCUGAACCCUGUUGUGCAUGUUCCAUGGAGCUGACUCUGGCCACUCCACCCCCUGGCCCUUAUUUGCCAGGGCAAAAUCAAGCCUGUGUUGUCCUAGCUCCAACUGUGGUUGAGAAGUCUUGCCCAAAUAUCUUUAAUCCAAGGUGCUGUUUCCAGCCUCCCCACUGCCAAACACCAGAUCUCAUCUGCUCUUGUUCUUGAAAUAAAAAUUCUAGUUUUCAUGUUCCAAACUGAACUUGUUCCUAAAUACUGAAUUUCACCUGUGUUCUACUGUCCAAUUUUAAACCUCUGGAUUUAUUUACCCAUAUUUACAAUACCUUGGCCCUGUUAAUGUUUUGGGUCAGGUAGUAUUUUUCUUGUGGAGCCUGUCCUGUGCAGAGUAGGCUGCUCAGCAGCAUCCCUGACCUUUAUACACUUGAUUCCAGUAGCACCCCCUCCCCAGUUGUGACAAUCAACAAUAUCUAAAAACACUGCUAA